ACCUUCGGGUGUGCAAGCAAAACAUUGGCAAUAUCUUGAAACUGUGUUGAUGUAAACCCACGGCGGGGUAUUAUUUAUUUCAUUUUAGGUGCAAUCAAGAUUAUUUGGCAUGAGGUUCAGUGAAACCGGAUGAACUGUCACAGGCUCGUUAGUAUGCAGGCCUUCCCCUGGAUCUUGAAUAUCCUCUAAAGUAGUAUUAGUGUUUUGUGUUAGAGCAGUUUCCUAGGUCUUUUGUAUCAACUUUUCAGCAACUCAUUUUUCUGAAUUUGAUUCAGUAUUGUCUUGUAUCUUGUAUGUGUAACAUGUAUCAACAAUGGGAACAUUAUUUUCUAUCUUAUGCUCAGAAUUCGGCACUUACAUCAACUAGGAUAUGAACUGUCU
rnacentral:lncRNA from 1 species